rnacentral:rRNA from 1 species
AUACGGAGGAUGCGAGCGUUAUCCGGAUUUAUUGGGUUUAAAGGGAGCGUAGGUGGGAUAUUAAGUCAGCUGUGAAAGUUUGGGGCUCAACCUUAAAAUUGCAGUUGAUACUGGUUUCCUUGAGUACGGUACAGGUGGGCGGAAUUCGUGGUGUAGCGGUGAAAUGCUUAGAUAUCACGAAGAACUCCGAUCGCGAAGGCAGCUCACCGGGCCGGAACUGACACUGAUGCUCGAAAGUGCGGGUAUCAAACAGGAUUAGAUACCCUGGUAGUCCGCACAGUAAACGAUGAAUACUCGCUGUUUGCGAUACACUGUAAGCGGCCAAGCGAAAGCGUUAAGUAUUCCACCUGGGGAGUACGCCGGCAACGGCGAAACUCAAAUGAAUUGGCGGGG